rnacentral:lncRNA from 1 species
GAUUGUGCGGUUUCUUCCACCACGUGAAACUGUGUGUUUGUAUCCAAGCACUAGAAGACUUCCUCAUGGACACCCAUGAGUUUCAUUUUUGAGAGUUCCGUGUAAUAAAGCCCAUCAACAAUUUUCAGCUUUGGUGUAUAUCUCAAUCAGAAGCCCAGGAGUCCUUCAGACUAUAACAGCUUGAGGUUAAAGAUUCUUCAUUUUCAGGUUCACAGGAAUGCAUGAAAUUUUAACUACUGGCUGAAUAAUUCCCAGGCCAAAUGGAUUUAAAUCUCCUCCACAUAUUUUUCAAUUAGUUAUUCAGUUUUAAGGGGUCAAUUGUGAGGACAGGCAAAGAAAGAAGUGAAAAUAUUAUAAAAUUAAAAAAAAACUUAAUUCAUUAAAUUAUGAGACCAAAUUGCAAUGGAUGGUGGAUCAGUCUCAG